GACGAACGCUGGCGGCGUGCUUAACACAUGCAAGUCGAACGGACAGGCCCUGCUUUUGCGGGGUGCUCGAGUGGCGAACGGGUGAGUAACACGUGAGUAACCUGCCCUUGACUUUGGGAUAACUUCAGGAAACUGGGGCUAAUACCGGAUAGGAGCUCCUGCUGCAUGGUGGGGGUUGGAAAGUUUCGGCGGUUGGGGCUGGACUCGCAGCUUAUCAGCUUGUUGGUGGGGUAGUGGCUUACCAAGGCUUUGACGGGUAGCCGGCAUGAGAGGGUGACCGGCCACAAUGGGACUGAGAGACGGCCCAGACGCCUACGGGAGGCAGCAGUGGGGAAUAUUGCACAGUGGGCGGAAGCCUGAUGCAGCGACGCUGCGUGCGGGAUGACGUCCUUCGGGUUGUAAACCGCUUUCGCCUGUGACGAAGCGUGAGUGACGGUAAUGGGUAAAGAAGCACCGGCUAACUACGUG
rnacentral:rRNA from 1 species